rnacentral:tRNA from 1 species
GGCAGUGUAGCUUAAUGGUAGAGUAGUCGGCCAGCAUCUGACGGGUUGCAGGUUCAAGUCCCGUGGCUGCCU